rnacentral:lncRNA from 1 species
CUCGGCAGAGCUUUGUUGAGUGCCGCCGACACUCGGCAAAGAAGCAAAUAAAAAAACCUAAAAAUAGGAAUUUUUUUUGGGAAGGCCCCCAACGGCCAGUGUCCGCACAUCUCUAUCAAAGUCACAAGUCAUGAUAUUUUUAUACGCAAAUUCGCAAGUCAUGAUAUUUUUAUACGCAAAUUUUGUAGCUAUGCGGCUGGUGGCAUUCGAACCCAUCACCUUCCUCUCACAUGUCUCUCUCCCUAAUCACCACACCACACUGUCACUUGU